GAUACAGGCAUGUGCCUCUAAGCCUGGCCAACCUCUUUUCUUUGUAAGUGUCCUGCCUUAGGUGUCUUGUUAUAGUGAUGGCAGGAGGACUGAUACACUCACACUGUCGGAUGUGUCCUCACCCAGGAUUCCUUCCAGCAGCAAGAGGUUUGCAGACAUCUGAAGACCUUGAAUGGAGACCUAAGGAGAGAUCUGUGGAGCCAUCUGUUUCCAAGCAGAAGAUACAGCAUGUACAAAGGCCCCGAGGUCCCGCCACCCCUUCUUCCUGCCAGGCUCCCCGAACCAGGUGGUGGGAGAGGCUGCUCCCCUUUGCUGGAGGUCCCUGCCCGACGUCCACACAUAAGACAACCUGUCCAGCGAGGCUUUUGUGAGCCACUAGAGCCACCCUACAGCUCACCUGGGCAGCAUGUAGGACAGUUCUGUCCCCUCGGUGCCCCGUGUUCUGGAUUCCCGUCCCCAGCUUACUGUCCUGACCCUGACAGUCCCAGCUCCUGCCUUCUCCAGCGCUUCCUGCCAGCUCUCUGUGUGGCUCACAAGAUUCCUGUCCCUCUGGUCGCUCCACUGACGCGGGGAAGGCUGGGCCUCGUUUGUCCUCCGUCCUGGGCUCCUGACACCCUGCUACUCCCUAGCUGCAUCCACCGUCAGCACCUACUCCAUCACCCACCCAAUCCCUUCUUGUCCCGGUGACUGUGACGACCCUCUGUGGGGUCUCCUGCUUCUGCAGCUGCUCCAGGGGCAGCAGAGUGAGUCUCACAAUGUGCGUUAAGAUUGUCACUCUCACCUAAAUUCUUCAAUGACUUCCCAGCGCUCUCACCUUAGAACGCGAACUCCCUACUGUGGCUUACCUGACCCAGCCCGUGUCAUCUGGUGCCAACCUUCCUUGAAUCGCUCCGUCCCCUGCUUGCUUUGCAAUAAACUCAUCACCACCUCAGAAUCUUUGCAUUUGCUGGGCCUGCUGCUGAAAUGCUCUCUCUCUAGAGCCUCUCUUGCUUGCCUCUUCUCAUGCCCUGGGUCAUGGCUGGAACGUCCCCUCCACCUGUCUGAAGCAGUCCCCAUGUCCUGGGCAGUCACCUUGC
rnacentral:lncRNA from 1 species